rnacentral:rRNA from 1 species
UACGCAGGGUGCGAGCGUUAAUCGGAAUUACUGGGCGUAAAGCGUGCGCAGGCGGUUUUGUAAGCCAGGUGUGAAAUCCCCGGGCUCAACCUGGGAAUGGCAUUUGGGACUGCAAGGCUGGAGUGCGGCAGAGGAGACUGGAAUUCCUGGUGUAGCAGUGAAAUGCGUAGAUAUCAGGAGGAACACCGAUGGCGAAGGCAGGUCUCUGGGCUGACACUGACGCUCAUGCACGAAAGCGUGGGGAGC